UAACUACACUGAGGAUGCCCGGGGCAGGGACCUGAGUGAUUGCUCAGAAACCCACAUCCGUCGGAGCACCAGCAUGUCCCCUCAGAGAGCACCAGACAAGCCAGCUUUCUCCGCUUCUGGGGCUCCUAGAAUGUCUGCCUGGCUCUGGGGGAGCAGGCGCUGCCUGUGGAGCCGACUGCACGCAUCUUCUCCCUGGCCUGGUGCUCCUGCAGACCUCACUUUCACGGGAAGGGAAGUGAAAUUGGAGGACGGACAGAAGAAGUGGGGCAGGGGGGAACACCAGCCCGCUGCACCCCAGAACUCUGAAUGCCCCAGGGGCUGAGACCGCCUUUGCUGACAAGCUGAAGCCAGCACGCUGACCCCUCACCUCAGCCCUGCAGUGCACACGCAAGCGCCCGAGAGCCCCGAUGGGGGGGCAGAAUGCGGGCACAGCAGAGUACCACAGAAGCGGAGGCUGGCGGAACACCCUGUGGAGCUCGCCUAGCAGAAACCGGCUGGAAGGCUCACCUCCAAACGAAGUAGACCAAAGCUAGACACACUGGAGUGGCGGAACCUGGAGCCCGGGAAGCAGAGACAGGCUCGGGGGG